UACAGAGGGUGCGAGCGUUAAUCGGAAUGACUGGGCGUAAAGGGUGCGUAGGUGGUAUAUUGAGUGUGUUGUGAAAUCCCUGGGCUUAACCUAGGAAUGGCAACGCAUACUGAUGAACUAGAGUCGGUGAGAGGGGCGUGGAAUUUCCGGUGUAGCGGUGAAAUGCGUAGAGAUCGGAAAGAACACCAGUGGCGAAGGCGACGCUCUGGCAGCAGACUGACACUGAGGCACGAAAGCAUGGGGAGCAAACAGG
rnacentral:rRNA from 1 species